GAGUAAUGCUUGGGAAUAUGCCUUUAGGUGGGGGACAACAGUUGGAAACGACUGCUAAUACCGCAUAAUGUCUACGGACCAAAGGGGGGGAUCUUCGGACCUCUCGCCUAAAGAUUAGCCCAAGUGAGAUUAGCUAGUUGGUGAGGUAAAGGCUCACCAAGGCGACGAUCUCUAGCUGGUUUGAGAGGAUGAUCAGCCACACUGGGACUGAGACACGGCCCAGACUCC
rnacentral:rRNA from 1 species